GUUGUCUUUAGGUCUAAAGUUAUCUUGAAAGAGAAGUUAAAUUGUUGGGUUGAUAACACUAGAGUUUAGUGUUAGGUUUAAACUGUUGCUGUGAAGAGUGUCUUUGGAAAGUGUCAAAGAUGGUUCAAGGAUAUCAAGUCGAUGGAAAAUUUCUCAAAGUCUACUAGAUAGAGUCCUCAAGUGAUUUUUACAGUGACCAGACUGCUUACUUUCUGCGUGAUAAGCGCUUGAGCAAUUAUUCAGUCAAUAAAACAUCAUUUGAAGAUCAAAUACAUAUUCCAUAAAUCUCUUGCCUCAACUACAAGAUCAAAACACAAAUAUAAUCUUUAGAUCAAACACCAAACAAAUUCUUUACCAAAUGGCCUUUUGAGUUUCGAAGAUUGAAAAAGUAACUACAGUUCCAGUUGGAGAAGAAAAUUUUCAUUCUGGUGAUCCACGCAAAGGAAAAAGAAGUAUAGAGGUUUUAAAAAUGCAACAGGUACAAUCAAAGAGUUCUUCGAUGAUUUACUGGUUAGAUGAUCAAAGUCUACUAAAGUUUAGUUAUGUCUAGACCAACUGUUAAUUAACUAUUUUUUAGUGGAUUUAUUUGGCAAGGUUUACAGGGAGCAGAAGGUAUUCGUCAUUAUCAAAGUCCUCCUAUGCUAAUUUAUAAACCACUGCAUCUACGUGAUUUUUUUACUAUCAAGAUAAAAAAAAUCGUUAAGUUGCUAUUUAAACACCUCAGUUUGUUACCACAAUUGUUCCAUCUAUUUAGUUGCUCCGUUGCCAUCACUUGCAGAUGUAGUUGAUGUGAGUGGCAAUUCAUUUGAUCAAAAUAUUAAUUAUCUCUUAGUCAACUUUCUUUUCUCAUGCAUCUAAUAUUUUGACGCAACUUUUCAAGGAGAAAAAUUACAACAACGGUAAGUUCAAUACAAUAAUUCUUCAGUAGAUCAUGUGAUCACCCCUUUGGGAAAUAUUCACUUAUUAUAAUAAUUUAUCUUUUCUUGUUCCAAUAUAAGAUAAGCAAUUCCUCAAAAUAUUUCUUUUUUAAUGGCGACAGUAAAAUCUUAUUAGUUUUUCGAUUAAAAAUAUAGAUCAAACAACCAUUUUAACCAUAUCAAACAGUUAUUUUAUUUUAAUUUUUUAAUGAGAAAAAUAAGAGGGUUGAUACAGGUUUUGUUGAGUGGAAGAGAAGACCAUCAAGGAUUUUCUGGGCUCAGUUUCUCCAAUUGAUCAAUCACCCUGAUGAAAAGGAGCCAAAACUCCUCAACUACUUCACCUUACAGUUGCUCCUUGGUCACCCACUUAGGACACAAAAGAAGGAGGUACAAUAACACUAUUUGAUUAUCCAUAAAGGCAAUAACGCAAAAAAAGAUAGUAGGCAAAAAACACAAAGAAAAGCCACCCGUCUCACACAAAGAUAGAAGGCUGAGACUGCAUUCAUAUGACCAAGAGAAAGGGAUAGCCUUUUCAAAAGUUGUUUUUGGGCUAAUUUCGCAUCCAAAUCAACUUCCUUCAGCUGUGUUGGUAUCGUAGUAGAAUUUUUUAGCAAAAAAAGAGGCCAAGAAAAAAAAAUUUCUAUUGUUAUUUCCGUCCAACAAUUCUUCAUUGUUAAUUCUUUUAGAACCAUUUAUUUCCUUCCAGUCAACUUGAAGUGUCGUUUCAAACAAUUUAUGAUUUUGUUGGUUCUAGUCAACUUUUCAAUUUCCAUUGUUCAAAUUUCUCUUAAAAUCACCACUCUUGACUAAACCCGAUUUGGAAUCCACGAGGCUAAUUCUUAUGUUUUCAAUUUAUUCUUGAGAGCACUUGAAUGAAAGCACUGAGUGGAAAGAUGCACAGUAGUGAGAUCAAUAGAGGGUAAAAGCCAUAUAUUGUGUGAUUCCGAGUGAAUAUUGGUGAGAUAGAAAGUUUUCAGAUUUAGGAUGUUUGACAGAGAAAGUUUCAAUUCAAGUCGAAAUAGUAAUCAUAUUAAUGUGUCGAACGAUAGGAUGAGACGGUUUGAGAGGUGGUUGGCAGAUAUGGAAGAUAUGUUAGCUAGGCUUGAUACAUCAAUUACAAAUCUUAAUAGGGACAACUUGUGGAAACAUCUCAUGCUAGGAGGCUAGGUAGAUGAGAGCCUAGAUAGGAGGCAUACGAUUACGAUAGUGAUUUGGAUGAAGAUGAGUAUGAAAGAGUUAAGAUGGGAUGAAUGUGGAAUAGAAGUGAUAGGCUUAAACGAUCGGGUAAGAAUAAUCAUGAGACAAGAUAGAUGGUAAUAUGUGCAACAUUAAGAUAUUAAUUCCACCGCUUAAGGGAAGAAUUGAUUCUAAAGCUUAUCUAGAGUGGAAAAAGAAACCGGAGUUAAUUUUUUAGUGCUAUAACUACUCAAAGGUAAAGAUAGCAAUUCUAGAAUUCACUGACUAUGCGAUAACUUGGUGGGAUCAAGUAGUCACUUCACGACAUAGAAAUCGAGAGAGGCCUAUCAACGCUUGGGAUGAGUUGAAAACGAUGAUAAGAAAGCGAUUUGUACCUAGACACUACUAUAGGAAAUUCCAUCAAAAAUUGUAGAGUUUAUAUCAGGGUUCGAAGAGUGUAGAUGAUUAUCACAAGAGGAUGUAGAUAGUGAUGAUCUGGGUGAAUGUGGAGGAGGAUCGGAAAGCCACUAGGGCUCAUUUUCUAAAUGGGUUGAAUAAGGAUAUAGCCAAUGUGGUGGAGUAG
rnacentral:lncRNA from 1 species